UUGCUUUGGCAGCAUAUGUCCUAAAAUUGGAACGAUACAGAAAUGACUGUGGCCCCUGCACAAACAUGACACACAAGUUCGUAGUGUUCCAUAUUUCU
ensembl:snRNA U6 U6 spliceosomal RNA